UACGUAGGGGGCGAGCGUUGUCCGGAUUUAUUGGGCGUAAAGCGCGCGCAGGUGGUUCCUUAAGUCUGAUGUGAAAGCCCACGGCUCAACCGUGGAGGGUCAUUGGAAACUGGGGAACUUGAGUGCAGAAGAGGAUAGUGGAAUUCCAAGUGUAGCGGUGAAAUGCGUAGAGAUUUGGAGGAACACCAGUGGCGAAGGCGACUGUCUGGUCUGUAACUGACACUGAGGCGCGAAAGCGUGGGGAGCAAACAGG
rnacentral:rRNA from 1 species